rnacentral:rRNA from 1 species
GACGAACGCUGGCGGCGUGCUUAACACAUGCAAGUCGAACGGGAAGGCCCUGCUUUUGUGGGGUGCUCGAGUGGCGAACGGGUGAGUAACACGUGAGUAACCUGCCCUUGACUUUGGGAUAACUUCAGGAAACUGGGGCUAAUACCGGAUAGGAGCUCCUGCUGCAUGGUGGGGGUUGAAAAGUUUCGGCGGUUGGGGAUGGACUCGCGGCUUAUCAGCUUGUUGGUGGGGUAGUGGCUUACCAAGGCUUUGACGGGUAGCCGGCCUGAGAGGGUGACCGGCCACAUUGGGACUGAGAUACGGCCCAGACUCCUACGGGAGGCAGCAGUGGGGAAUAUUGCACAAUGGGCGGAAGCCUGAUGCAGCAACGCCGCGUGCGGGAUGACGGCCUUCGGGUUGUAAACCGCUUUCGCCUGUGACGAAGCGUGAGUGACGGUAAUGGGUAAGAAGCACCGGCUAACUACGUGCCAGCAGCCGCGGUGAUACGUAGGGUGCGAGCGUUGUCCGGAUUUAUUGGGCGUAAAGGGCUCGUAGGUGGUUGAUCGCGUCGGAAGUGUAAUCUUGGGGCUUAACCCUGAGCGUGCUUUCGAUACGGGUUGACUUGAGGAAGGUAGGGGAGAAUGGAAUUCCUGGUGGAGCGGUGGAAUGCGCAGAUAUCAGGAGGAACACCAGUGGCGAAGGCGGUUCUCUGGGCCUUUCCUGACGCUGAGGAGCGAAAGCGUGGGGAGCGAACAGGCUUAGAUACCCUGGUAGUCCACGCUGUAAACGGUGGGUACUAGGUGUGGGGUCCAUUCCACGGGUUCCGUGCCGUAGCUAACGCUUUAAGUACCCCGCCUGGGGAGUACGGCCGCAAGGCUAAAACUCAAAGGAAUUGACGGGGCCCCGCACAAGCGGCGGAGCAUGCGGAUUAAUUCGAUGCAACGCGUAGAACCUUACCUGGGUUUGACAUGGAUCGGGAGUGCUCAGAGAUGGGUGUGCCUCUUUUGGGGUCGGUUCACAGGUGGUGCAUGGCUGUCGUCAGCUCGUGUCGUGAGAUGUUGGGUUAAGUCCCGCAACGAGCGCAACCCUUGUUCACUGUUGCCAGCACGUUAUGGUGGGGACUCAGUGGAGACCGCCGGGGUCAACUCGGAGGAAGGUGGGGAUGACGUCAAGUCAUCAUGCCCCUUAUGUCCAGGGCUUCACGCAUGCUACAAUGGCUGGUACAGAGAGUGGCGAGCCUGUGAGGGUGAGCGAAUCUCGGAAAGCCGGUCUCAGUUCGGAUUGGGGUCUGCAACUCGACCUCAUGAAGUCGGAGUCGCUAGUAAUCGCAGAUCAGCAACGCUGCGGUGAAUACGUUCCCGGGGCU